CUUAUAAUUUUUUUUCUUCUCUUCUCAAAAAUAAAAAAAAAAGAGGGUUACAUGGGUGUAUGUGGUGUUUGUUUUUCUGAUGAAAGGUGUAUGUGUUUUUUGAAUGGGACAUGUCAAAGGGACAAAAAAGAGAUGGAAAUUGUGGAGAGGAAGAAGAAUCUUUUUAGGUCUGUUGAUUUGAAUUGGUACAAGGAGUCCAAAGGUACCAAAACCAGGGCCUAAGCACAUGACCGCCUGGCCACCUUGAUUCCCUUCUCAUGAACCCCUGCAAGCUUUUGCCUUUGUUCUUUGCAAGAAGUUACCAUGCCUCUUUGCUUUAUCUCCUGCUUUUCCUUUUCCUCCCUUCAAAC
rnacentral:lncRNA from 1 species